GCGGGGGCACUGCACUGGCCCUGACCAGUGCACUGUAACCCAAUAAACCCUUUCAAUCUGUAGCCUGCUGGAGUCAAUGUGAAGGCCCAAAAACUUCAGCAGCCAGUUUUCAAAGAAGCUGACUGGCUGCUCACCCUCACCUUCAGGGAACCCGACAAUUCGGAGAUUUAUCCUCCAACCUCGACUUUCGAGGUUGUUAAUAUGGUCUCGCAAGGCCUGCAUCUCUCGCUCCAGCACCUGGAGGAGGACUCCAUCUCAGCUUCUGAGGCCUUAGUUCAACCCUCCACCUCCUCCAGCCUAAGUUGGACCUGGGCACGAAUCUCCCACGGAUCUCCUCAAUUGCAGCCCCAGCUUUCAAGAUAAGUCUCUCCAUCCCCAAUUCUUAUGUAACUUCAUCUUUAAGCAGUCAGAAGUUCAGAAUACUUGUCUGAAUCUAGAAAACAGGAUUGUCAAUUUUUCUAAUCAGAGAUGUUGAGCAGAUUGGACUUCUGGGAUUCCACCUCUGUAGCCGGUACAAAAAGGCCAACAGUGAAAAAGACAGGCACUCAUCAGGAGUCUGAAACAACAGCUGGUCUCAUUUAUUAUAACACCAUUGUGAGAUAAAAAUUUAAGUAUAACAUUACACAAUGAAAAUCUU